rnacentral:rRNA from 1 species
GGUUUGAUCCGGCUCAGAUUGAACGCUGCUGGAUGCUUUACACAUGCAAGUCGAACGGGCGGCACGGACUUCGGUCUCAGGCGAGUGGCGAACGGGUGAGUAAUUACUCGGAACGUGCCUAGUAGUGGGGACAAUCACGUGAAAGCGUAGCUAAUACCGCAUACGCCCUUCGUGGAAAGACCCGGGCCCGCACUACAGAGCGCACGAUAUCGGAUUAGCCAGUUGGUGGGGUAACGGCUCACCAAGGCGACGAUCCGAAGGUUUGAGAGGGACGACCAGCCACACUGGGGACUGAGACACGGCCCAGACUCCUACGGAGGCAGCAGUGGGGAAUUUUGGACAAUGGGGAAACCCUGAUCCAGCCAUCCGCGCAAAAAGGAUGAAGGCCUUCGGGUUGUAAAGCACUUCUUCUUUACAGGAAAGAAACGGCACGGGAUAAUACCUGCAAACUGACGGUACCUGCAGAAUAAAGGCACCGGCGACCACGUGCCAGCAGCCGCGUAAUAAUGGUAGGGUGCAAGUGCGUUAAUCGGAAUUACUGGGCGUAAAGCGUGGCGCAGGCGGUUCGGAAAGAAAGAUGUGAACUUCAGAGCUUAACUUUGGAACUUACUUUUAACUUCACUGAGCUAGAGUGUGUCAGGAGGGAGGAAUUCAUGCAGUUAGUGAAAUGCGCAGAUAUGCGGAGGAACACCGAUGGCGGCAGCCUGGGGAUAACACUGACGCUCAGUGCACGAAAGCGUGGGGAGCAAAACAGGAUUAGAUACCCUGGUAGUCCACGCCCUAAACGAUGUCAGCUGUUGGGGCCUUCGCCUUUGCAGCGCAGCUAACGCGUGGUUAACGCCGGGGAGUACGGUCGCAAGAUUAAAACUCAAAGGAAUUGACGGGGACCUGCACAAGCGGUGGAUGAUGUGGAUUAAUUCGAUGCAACGCGAAAACCUUACCUACCCUUGACAUGUCUGGAAUCCCGAAGAUUUAGAGUGCUCAAGAGAACCGGAACACAGGUGUUGCAUGGCUGUCGCCGGGUCAAAGUCGUGGAGAUGUUGGUUAAGUCCCGCAACGAGCGCAACCUGUCAUUAGUUGCUACGAAAGGGCACUCUAAUGAGACUGCCGGUGACAAACCGGAGGAAGGUAGAUGACGUCAAGUCCGCGGCCUUUAUGGGUAGGGCUUCACACGUCAUACAAUGGUCGGGACAGAGGGUCGCCAACCCGCGAGGGGGAGCCAAUCCCAGAAACCCGAUGUAGUCCGGAUCGCAGUCUGCAACUCGACUGCGUGAAGUCGGAAUCGCUAGUAAUCGGAUCAGCAUGUCGCGGUGAAUACGUUCCCGGGUCUUGUACACACCGCCCGUCACACCAUGGGAGUGGGUUUUACCAGAAGUAGUUAGCCUAACCGUAAGGAGGGCGAUUACCACGGUAGGAUUCAUGACUUAAAGUAAAGCUGUAACAAGGUGGAAGCUCUGAAAGACACCUUGAUGCUCCCA